AAACAGGCUUCAAUUGAAGCCACCAACUCAUUUAUAUCGACUUUGU
rfam:Echinococcus granulosus EG_S00162, whole genome shotgun sequence.